rnacentral:rRNA from 1 species
AGCGAACGCUGGCGGUAGGCCUAACACAUGCAAGUCGAACGGCAGCACAGUAAGAGCUUGCUCUUACGGGUGGCGAGUGGCGGACGGGUGAGGAAUACAUCGGACUCUACUUUUUCGUGGGGGAUAACGUAGGGAAACUUACGCUAAUACCGCAUACGACCUACGGGUGAAAGUAGGGGAUCUUCGGACCUUUCGCGAUUGAAUGAGCCGAUGUCGGAUUAGCUAGUUGGCGGGGUAAAGGCCCACCAAGGCGACGAUCCGUAGCUGGUCUGAGAGGAUGAUCAGCCACACUGGAAGUGAGGCACGGUCCAGACUCCUACGGGAGGCAGCAGUGGGGAAUAUUGGACAAUGGGCGCAAGCCUGAUCCAGCCAUACCGCGUGGGUGAAGAAGGCCUUCGGGUUGUAAAGCCCUUUUGUUGGGAAAGAAAAGCAGCAGGUUAAUACCCCGCUGUUCUGACGGUACCCAAAGAAUAAGCACCGGCUAACUUCGUG